rnacentral:lncRNA from 1 species
AUGCUGCUUUAAGAACCAGGCUAUAAGAAGGCUCACUUUGCUGAAAAUAUCAGAGGUCUCAGCACCCCUUCAGACCCACUAGGAAAUUAUACAGGUUUUACAAAGACUUGCCAUUUCCACUUUCUUCCUGUUGGAAUCCAGCAACUAUGCUGUAAGAAGCCAAGUCAAAUGGAGAGGCUACAUGGAAGGAAUACUGAGGCCCUCCAGUCAACAGCCCUCACUGAAUUUCCAGGCAACAGCCUGCAUCAACUAACAGCUUUAUGGAUAAGCUGUCUUAGACACACCAGCUGGUCCAGUCCCCAGAUGACUGAAGCUCCAAACAUCAUUUAGAGGAGAAGAAUCACCCAGCCUAGCCCAGUCACCCUGCAGAAUCAUGAGAGUUAAUAAAAUCAAUAUUGUUUUAAGCCACUAUUUGGUCAUUUUUUAUGAUGGAGUAGAUAAUGAAAACAUAAUGCUUCUAGUGUAGCAGAGAAGAACGGCAUUAAGUACAGUGGUAAAAUGUGAUGAGUGUCCAAGGUACUAUGAGAGUAUAGAAUAUGUCUCCAAGUUGAGAUGUUAGUGUAGGAGUUAACCAUUUAUAAAAGAGAUGUGGGUUCCAAAGUCAUGGGCUUGUGUGAGGGCAAGAAAGAAAGAGUGCAGAGCUUUUCUAAGGAGCUGACGUAACUUUAGUGCCGCCUGAUCCUGAAGUGUGAGGAAGAGGAAUAAGAUGAGAGAGGGAAGUAUUAUUUAGAAUGUCAUAAAUAUCAUAAAUGCAGUGGGGGGCCUUUGAAGCACUGUAAGCCUAGAAAUAAAGUAACUGAUUUUGUGAUGUUUCAUCUUGACUGAGGUAUAUGUGUGAGUACUAACAAAUCCAGUAAAUUUUUAUUAUACCUAUUUUUAGAUAGAUAGAUGGGAAAAUGGGGACUCUUUUU